GGGUUGUGAGGUUAAGCGACUAAGCGUACACGGUGGAUGCCCUGGCAGUCAGAGGCGAUGAAGGGCGUGCUAAUCUGCGAUAAGCGCCGGUAAGGUGAUAUGAACCGUUAUAACCGGCGAUACCCGAAUGGGGAAACCCAGUGUGACUCGUCACACUAUCAUUAACUGAAUCCAUAGGUUAAUGAGGCGAACCGGGGGAACUGAAACAUCUAAGUACCCCGAGGAAAAGAAAUCAACCGAGAUUCCCCCAGUAGCGGCGAGCGAACGGGGAGGAGCCCAGAGCCUGAAUCAGCAUGUGUGUUAGUGGAAGCGUCUGGAAAGGCGCGCGAUACAGGGUGACAGCCCCGUACACAAAAGCGCAUGUGCUGUGAGCUCGAUGAGUAGGGCGGGACACGUGGUAUCCUGUCUGAAUAUGGGGGGACCAUCCUCCAAGGCUAAAUACUCCUGACUGACCGAUAGUGAACCAGUACCGUGAGGGAAAGGCGAAAAGAACCCCGGCGAGGGGAGUGAAAAAGAACCUGAAACCGUGUACGUACAAGCAGUGGGAGCCCCACCACUAAGCCAGUGGUGAACUCCACAUACGCAUCCUUUGCUGAGGAUACGGUUAACGGAGCGCAAGCGACGUUCAACCGCAAAAGAAGCAGAGGGGGCUUAGUGGUGGGGUGACUGCGUACCUUUUGUAUAAUGGGUCAGCGACUUAUAUUCUGUAGCAAGGUUAACCGUAUAGGGGAGCCG
rnacentral:rRNA from 3 species